rnacentral:rRNA from 1 species
GACGAACGCUGGCGGCGUGCCUAAUACAUGCAAGUCGAACGCAGUGGGGACGGGUGCGUAACACGUGCCUAACCUCCCAUCAGAGGGGAUAACACUUGGAAACAGGUGCUAAACCGCUACUGAUGUAUGGACCCGCAGUGCAUUAGCUAGUUGGUGAGGUAACGGCUCACCAAGGCCACGAGGCAUAGCCGACCUGAGAGGGUGAUCGGCCACGCUGGGACUGAGACACGGCCCAGACUCCUACGGGAGGCAGCAGUGGGGAAUCUUCGGCAAUGGACGAAAGUCUGACGGAGCAACGCCGCGUGAGUGAAGAAGGUUUUCGGGUCGUAAAGCACUGUGGUUAGAGAAGCGGUAUCUAACCAGAAAGCCACGGCUAACUACGUGCCAGCAGCCGCGGUAAUAC